GACAGAGGCCUCGAGCGUUAGGCGGAAUCACUGGGCUUAAAGCGUGUGUAGGCGGGCCCGUAAGUGUCUUGUGAAAUCCCACGGCUCAACCGUGGAACUGCUGGGCAUACUGCGGGUCUUGGGCCAACUAGGGGCAGCCGGAACAAGCGGUGGAGCGGUGAAAUGCGUAGAUAUCGCUUGGAACGCCGAAGGUGAAAACAGGCUGCUGGGGUUGCGCCGACGCUGAGACACGAAAGCGUGGGGAGCGAACAGG
rnacentral:rRNA from 1 species